AGCAGCGUGGCUCAGUGGAAAGAGCAUGGGCUUGGGAGUCAGAGGUCAUGGGUUCUAAUCCCGGCUCUGCCA
rnacentral:tRNA from 1 species